rnacentral:rRNA from 1 species
AGUGAACGCUGGCGGUAGGCCUAACACAUGCAAGUCGAACGGCAGCACAGUAAGAGCUUGCUCUUACGGGUGGCGAGUGGCGGACGGGUGAGGAAUACAUCGGAAUCUACUUUUUCGUGGGGGAUAACGUAGGGAAACUUACUCUAAUACCUCAUACGACCUACGGGUGAAAGCAGGGGAUCUUCGGACCUUACGCGAUUGAAUGAGCCGAUGUCGGCUUAGCUAGUGGGCGGGGUAAAGGCCCACCAAGGCGACGAUCCGUAGCUGGUCUGAGAGGGUGAUCAGCCACACUGGAACUGGGACACGGUCCAGACUCCUACGGGAGGGAGCAGUGGGGAAUAUUGGACAAUGGGCGCAAGCCUGAUCCAGCCAUACCGCGUGGGUGAAGAAGGCCUUCGGGUUGUAAAGCCCUUUUGUUGGGAAAGAAAAGCAGCAGGUUAAUACCCCGCUGUUCUGACGGUACCCAAAGAAUAAGCACCGGCUAACUUCGUG